UCCCUCUCAGGGUUGCACCUGGAGAGUUUCCGGUAGUCUACCAGUUUCGACUAAGAGAGGAAGAGACAGGCAGAGGCCUACUCAUUCCAUUCCUAGCUGGACCAGUGACUAGCGAGUGGAAGGCCAUCUGCUACAAGU